rnacentral:misc_RNA from 1 species
GAUACCUCAAGCUCUGCUUGGUGUUGGGCGUUUGUCCUGUCAAGGGACUCGCCUUAAAGCAAUUGGCAGCCGAUGUACCGGUCGUGGAGCGCAGCACAUUCUUGCGAUUCCCGCCAGCGCGUCGGCGUCCAGAAGCCCAUUUUCUCAA